AUCUGUUCUUAUCAGUUUAAUAUCUGAUACGUCCCCUACCCGGGACCAUAUAUUAAAUUGAUUUUUGGAUCAGGGAGCCGGAACGGGGGCUUGCUCCUUCCACUCCACGCAUCGACCCGGUAUUGCAUUACCUCCAGGUACGGUGC
rnacentral:snRNA from 1 species